rnacentral:misc_RNA from 1 species
AAUGCCCUGAAAAUCCAUGGAACAUUCCACUACCCACUUGACUAAAUUGGCAUUUCUAGCAGCCCUAGCCCUAUUUGUAAAGAAGUACCAACCCUAGCAAACUGAUGCCUUAGUGUGCACUUGUUAUCUGUGUCCACAACCCAUGAAGGAAAAGAAAUUGAAGAAAGGAGACUAGAGUUUUGAAGUUAAAUCAUCACAAAGUCAACAAUCAUCCAUAACUUUCUAGUAAGAAUUGUAACAUAACAUCACAAGCACUCAAAACUAUUUUACGUAAACACCUGAUGAUAGGAAUGAAACUUUUAGUAUCAUUACAUUUUCAUUACUUCACUAUGUGCAUGCACAUUGUAGAGAUUGCUCAAAUUCUAACAGCAAGUACUAAAACGAAUCCUACAAAUGUAAAUACUAUAAAAACAUUUGUCAGAUUACCAUUUUACAAAUGAAAACGUGAUGAGAAGAAAAGUUUGGAAAGACUGGCUUUACAGAUCCAUCCAAUGAUAAACAAAAUCAAUUGGUCAAAUCACAAUAUAUCCCAUGGCAAUACUCACCCUUAUUGAAAGAAAAAUCAGAUAUAGGGUUAUGAGUCCCACCCCUAAUGUCUUGGAGGGACGCAUGUUAUUUUGAGGUAAAACAACAAGUGCCCAAAUUAAUCCUGACAUGAGAAAACCCAUAGUGUAGAACAAGCUACUGUCUUGAGGAAUCACAUAAAUG